UCCAUUGCUGUGUCAGUCUUCAACUGUUCACUAUUUCGACCUGCAAUGGAUCGCUUCCGAACAGCCUUUUGUAGUGUUUUGCUGUUAACAGCAAGUUCCGUCUUUUGUACCGCAAACCUUAUGGGUAGUUCUGGGUUCGACUUUGAAUUACCGGAAGUGAGAGUAGAAUCUCCACUACCAGUAAGCACGUCGAGCAUUCAAACGCUGGAACAGCUGAGAAAUUCCCAGCAUAUCUACGGUUCUUGUGAUGAGGUUCCAUCGAAUUCGUCCGGGGUGUACAGAAUAUACGCCAAUCUGGACGAAACUGCUGUAGUUUACUGUGACCAAGAGUACGAAGGCGGUGGUUGGACGGUGGUCAUGAACCGGUUUGAUGGGUCCGUCUGUUUUGAUCGCCCUAGGGAACAAAUAUCUUGGAGGUUUUGGAAGAUUCGAUAGCGGAGAAUUUAUGAUGGGACUGAACCUACUUUAUCUGCUGACAAAUCUGGCACCGCACGAAAUGGUUGUUCUGUUCGAAGACUUUAGCGGUGCAUCUAUGAAGAGCAGAGCGGAUCGGUUUAUAUUAAAUGAAGGACAAAGAAUAUCAACAGAUUCAGGUUUAAACCUAGAAGAUUUUUCGAGCGAAUGGAGCGACAAUAAAGAUCCUAACAACACUAUAAGAUUCAAUCUGUUUGGAUACUAUAGAAAAGGAAAUGUAAAUGCAGGACCAUCUGAUAUGCGAUGGGCGGAUUCAAACAACAACCAAUUCUAUUUAAAAUCUUGCAGAAUUAUGAUAAGGAAAACAAAAACUUCUUAACUGUGAUAGGGAUUGUGCAAAAUAAUGGUAAAAAUAAAAGUCUCCCUGAAAGUAUGUAUUGGAAUGUA